rnacentral:lncRNA from 1 species
GGACAUGAGAGUUUUUCAAAAUUAUGCAAGUUUGUAGACUUGUUAGUCAUAUGAUCAGUAGCUCCUGAAUCUAUAAUCCAAUAAUCAUGCACAUUACCUACUUUGAAAGCAGUUGAGAAGGUUUUUAAGAUACCUGGAAUAUCUUGUUGUGUCACACCUUCAUUUUCAACCAAAAAACCAGUAAAUUGCCCAAGUAGAGCAGCUUGUUUGUUGUCACCUUGACUAGUUAAUCCUUUAUUUUCUCCAUGACCUUGUUUCUUGUGAAGGAAGGCAGCAAAUUCAUUGAUCAGGGUGGCUGGAUUGGAAGUGAACUUCUGUGCUCCCUCGGAAUGAGUGGUGACGGUAUGAUUUGCCUUGUAGGAUGAGUUGUGUGAACCUUUAGGGAAACCCUUGUGGUUGUCCCUAGAAAACUUGGGCCUUAGUUCAGGAUGGAGAAUCCAGCAAUGAUCUCGUGUAUGUCCACCAGUAUCACAGUAGCUACAUUUCACAAUAGGUUUCUUUCCUUUGUAGCCCCUCUCUUCACUAGUUUUGUGGUUAGAGAGAUAUACCC